rnacentral:rRNA from 1 species
UUCGUGUGAACAGUGGUUGAUCACGAGUUAGUCGGUCCUAAGUUCAAGGCGAAAGCCGAAAAUUUUCAAGUAUAAAUUAAUCUAAUUUAUUUUGUGGAUAUGAUUUUUUUAAACACUUGAAUAAUUUUGAACGAAAGGGAAUACGGUUCCAAUUCCGUAACCUGUUGAGUAUCCGUUUGUUAUUAAAUAUGGGCCUCGUGCUCAUCCUGGCAACAGGAACGACCAUAAAGAAGCCGUCGAGAGAUAUCGGAAGAGUUUUCUUUUCUGUUUUAUAGCCGUACUGCCAUGGAAGUCUUUCGCAGAGAGAUAUGGUAGAUGGGCUAGAAGAGCAUGACAUAUACUGUUGUGUCGAUAUUUUCUCCUCGGACCUUGAAAAUUUAUGGUGGGGAUACGCAAACUUCUCAACAGGCCGUACCAAUAUCCGCAGCUGGUCUCCAAGGUGAAGAGUCUCUAGUCGAUAGAAUA